CCUACGGGUGGCAGCAGUGGGGAAUAUUGGACAAUGGGCGAAAGCCUGAUCCAGCCAUGCCGCGUGUGUGAAGAAGGCCUUCGGGUUGUAAAGCACUUUCAGUGGGGAAGAAAGCCUUGGGGCUAAUACCCUCGAGGAAGGACAUCACCCACAGAAGAAGCACCGGCUAACUCCGUGCCAGCAGCCGCGGUAAUACGGAGGGUGCGAGCGUGAAUCGGAAUUACUGGGCGUAAAGCGCGCGUAGGCGGUCUGAUAAGCCGGUUGUGAAAGCCCCGGGCUCAACCUGGGAACGGCAUCCGGAACUGUCAGGCUAGAGUGCAGGAGAGGAAGGUAGAAUUCCCGGUGUAGCGGUGAAAUGCGUAGAGAUCGGGAGGAAUACCAGUGGCGAAGGCGGCCUUCUGGACUGACACUGACGCUGAGGUGCGAAAGCGUGGGUAGCAAACAGGAUUAGAUACCCCGGUAGUC
rnacentral:rRNA from 1 species